rnacentral:rRNA from 1 species
AUGAACGCUGGCGGCGUGCCUAAUACAUGCAAGUCGAGCGAACGGACGAGAAGCUUGCUUCUCUGAUGUUCGCGGCGGACGGGUGAGUAACACGUGGAUAACCUACCUAUAAGACUGGGAUAACUUCGGGAAACCGGAGCUAAUACCGGAUAAUAUUUUGAACCGCAUGGUUCAAAAGUGAAAGACGGUCUUGCUGUCACUUAUAGAUGGAUCCGCGCUGCAUUAGCUAGUUGGUAAGGUAACAGCUUACCAAGGCAACGAUGCAUAGCCGACCUGAGAGGGUGAUCGGCCACACUGGAACUGAGACACGGUCCAGACUCCUACGGGAGGCAGCAGUAGGGAAUCUUCCGCAAUGGGCGAAAGCCUGACGGAGCAACGCCGCGUGAGUGAUGAAGGUCUUCGGAUCGUAAAACUCUGUUAUUAGGGAAGAACAUAUGUGUAAGUAACUGUGCACAUCUUGACGGUACCUAAUCAGAAAGCCACGGCUAACUACGUG